GCCAAGGUAGCUCAGCUGGUUUAGAGCGCUGGUCUCAUAAGCCGGAGGUCGGGAGUUCAA
rnacentral:tRNA from 1 species